UCAAUCAUGCAGGCAGAUGGGACAGGUGACACAGUUCAUGACCUGUUACAUCAUACCUAAUUUCAACGCCGUCUGUCUAUUUUCUAGUGACUAAAUAGUAGGUUU
ensembl:ncRNA F43G9.14 ncRNA